GAUGAAGAACGCAGCAAAAUGCGAUAAGUAAUGUGAAUUGCAGAAUUCAGUGAAUCAUCGAAUCUUUGAACGCACAUUGCGCCCGCCAGUAUUCUGGCGGGCAUGCCUGUUCGAGCGUCAUUUCAACCCUCAAGCACAGCUUGGUGUUGGGACUCGCGUUAAUUCGCGUUCCUCAAAUUGAUUGGCGGUCACGUCGAGCUUCCAUAGCGUAGUAGUAAAACCCUCGUUACUGGUAAUCGUCGCGGCCACGCCGUUAAACCCCAACUUCUGAAUGUUGACCUCGGAUCAGGUAGGAAUACCCGCUGAACUUAUGCAUAUCAAUAAGCGGAGGA
rnacentral:misc_RNA from 1 species